rnacentral:sRNA from 1 species
CUCUGGUGGUGUAUGUGCCUCCUUUCACUGGGGAGAAGCCUGUGAGAAAGAGUGCUACAAUUGCCAAGAUCCAUGCUCAAAGCAGGAAGGGAUUUGCUCAGGCUGCAAGGCUGGAUACAAAAAUUUCCUCAACGCCUGCGAGGAAGCCUGUGGUUGGGAUGAGUAUGGUGAGAAUUGCAAGUUCAGCUGUAUGGAGAAGUGUGGGGCGGAUUGUGGAGAACGCACGUUCGGAACCUGUUUAGAACAAAGCACAAACAAUCAUUGAUAGUGGACGAACAGUCCGAUUACGCAAAGUUCUCUAGUACAACAUCUGGGACAACUUCGUCUUUGACUGGUUUAAACAAGCACAGCCCAAAUAAGCCUAGCUCAACUGAUAUUGACCCAAUUCAACCAAUCGAAACCGAACCCAACAUACCCGAAUCCAAUAAAGCCGAACCUAAACAACGCCAAUCCAGUAAAACGGAACCAAACCAACCCGAACCCCAACAACGCAAAUCCAGCAAAUCGGAACCAAACCAACCCGAACCCCAACAACGCAAAUCCAGCAAAUCAGAACCAAACCAACCCGAACCCAAACAACGCAAAUCCAGCAAAACGGAACCAAACCAACAAGAACCCAAACAAGGCAAAUCCAGCAAAACGGAACCAAACCAACCCGAACCCAAACAAGGCAAAUCUAGCAAAACAGAACCCAACCAACUCAAAUCCAUCAAAACGGAACCAAUUCAACCCGAACCCAAACAACGCAAAUCCAGCAAAGCGGAACCCAACCAACACAAAUCCAGCAAAACGGAAGCAAACCAACCCGAAACAGAACGCAACUAACCCAACCCCAACAAAAUUGAACCAAUUCAACGUAAAUUCAGAUCACAAGCAAGGACAAUCUUGUGAUAGCUGAAAGAGUAGUUUCUAGACACAAAAGGACUAUGGCAAUAAACUGGAAGAUCUCCAUAGAAACCUUGUGAGAGAUUGCACGUUCAAUGGUGACACAAAUAUAACAGUAAUUACAGUUUUAUUGGGCUGCUGGCGACUCGAGUCUUAUAGAAGAAAUAGUUGCACAGCGAGCCAGUCCCUUAGUCUGUUGGUUCGUUGGGGCACCACGCAAUAUUUGUCGACCAUGUUUCUCCAUUUCUGUCUUUAUCCUUGGAUAUAACCUCUUCCAAUGGCAGGCCC